UACAGAGGUGGCAAGCGUUGUUCGGAAUUACUGGGCGUAAAGGGCGCGUAGGCGGCUUGGUCAGUCCCGUGUGAAAUCCCUCGGCUCAACUGAGGAACUGCACGGGAAACUGCCUGGCUUGAGUUCGGGAGAGGGAAGCGGAAUUCCAGGUGUAGCGGUGAAAUGCGUAGAUAUCAAGAGGAACACCUGCGGCGAAGGCGGGUUGCUGGGCCGACACUGACGCUGAGGCGCGAAAGCUAGGGGAGCGAACGGG
rnacentral:rRNA from 1 species